GACGAACGCUGGCGGCGUGCUUAACACAUGCAAGUCGAACGGAAAGGCCCUGCUUUUGUGGGGUGCUCGAGUGGCGAACGGGUGAGUAACACGUGAGUAGCCUGCCCUUGACUUUGGGAUAACUUCAGGAAACUGGGGCUAAUACCGGAUAGGAGCUCCUGCUGCAUGGUGGGGGUUGGAAAGUUUCGGCGGUUGGGGAUGGACUCGCGGCUUAUCAGCUUGUUGGUGGGGUAGUGGCUUACCAAGGCUUUGACGGGUAGCCGGCCUGAGAGGGUGACCGGCCACAUUGGGACUGAGAUACGGCCCAGACUCCUACGGGAGGCAGCAGUGGGGAAUAUUGCACAAUGGGCGGAAGCCUGAUGCAGCAACGCCGCGUGCGGGAUGACGGCCUUCGGGUUGUAAACCGCUUUCGCCUGUGACGAAGCGUGAGUGACGGUAAUGGGUAAAGAAGCACCGGCUAACUACGUGCCAGCAGCCGCGGUGAUACGUAGGGUGCGAGCGUUGUCCGGAUUUAUUGGGCGUAAAGGGCUCGUAGGUGGUUGAUCGCGUCGGAAGUGUAAUCUUGGGGCUUAACCCUGAGCGUGCUUUCGAUACGGGUUGACUUGAGGAAGGUAGGGGAGAAUGGAAUUCCUGGUGGAGCGGUGGAAUGCGCAGAUAUCAGGAGGAACACCAGUGGCGAAGGCGGUUCUCUGGGCCUUUCCUGACGCUGAGGAGCGAAAGCGUGGGGAGCGAACAGGCUUAGAUACCCUGGUAGUCCACGCUGUAAACGGUGGGUACUAGGUGUGGGGUCCAUUCCACGGGUUCCGUGCCGUAGCUAACGCUUUAAGUACCCCGCCUGGGGAGUACGGCCGCAAGGCUAAAACUCAAAGGAAUUGACGGGGCCCCGCACAAGCGGCGGAGCAUGCGGAUUAAUUCGAUGCAACGCGUAGAACCUUACCUGGGUUUGACAUGGAUCGGGAGCGCUCAGAGAUGGGUGUGCCUCUUUUGGGGUCGGUUCACAGGUGGUGCAUGGCUGUCGUCAGCUCGUGUCGUGAGAUGUUGGGUUAAGUCCCGCAACGAGCGCAACCCUUGUUCACUGUUGCCAGCACGUUAUGGUGGGGACUCAGUGGAGACCGCCGGGGUCAACUCGGAGGAAGGUGGGGAUGACGUCAAGUCAUCAUGCCCCUUAUGUCCAGGGCUUCACGCAUGCUACAAUGGCUGGUACAGAGAGUGGCGAGCCUGUGAGGGUGAGCGAAUCUCGGAAAGCCGGUCUCAGUUCGGAUUGGGGUCUGCAACUCGACCUCAUGAAGUCGGAGUCGCUAGUAAUCGCAGAUCAGCAACGCUGCGGUGAAUACGUUCCCGGG
rnacentral:rRNA from 1 species